AUUGAACGCUGGCGGCAGGCCUAACACAUGCAAGUCGAGCGAGCGGCGGACGGGUGAGUAAUAUAUGGGGACCUGCCUGAUGGAGGGGGAUAACUACUCGAAAAGGUAGCUAAUACCGCAUACUCUCAGAUGAACCCAUCUGGGAUUAGCUAGUAGGUGGGGUAACGGCUCACCUAGGCGACGAUCCCUAGCUGGUCUGAGAGGAUGACCAGCCACACUGGGACUGAGACACGGCCCAGAGUCCUACGGGAGGCAGCAGUGGUGAAUUUUGCACAAUGGGCGCAACCCUGAUGCAGCCAUGCCGCGUGUAUGAUGAAGGCCUUCGGGUUGUAAAGUACUUUUGGUCGGGAGGCGGUACCGACAGAAGAAGCACCGGCUAACUCCGUGCCAGCAGCCGCGGUAAUAC
rnacentral:rRNA from 1 species